UAAUCUCUGGUUUUCCAGUUUUUGUUCUUGUUUUGUAUGUUAUUGUGGAUAUUUUGUGUAAUAAAAGCGAGUUUGGUCGUUUAUAAUCGGAUUAAUGUUGGCUAUUCCACGUCCACUUGUAUUUCUGUCCAUCUGAUGAGUUAAGCCUUUUUCAACUGAUUUUUAUAGUUCGUUCUUAUGUUGUACUGUUAUACCACUGUCCCAGGUUAGGGGGUUGGGAUCCCGCUAACAUUUUUAACCCCGCCACAUUCUGUAUGUAUGUGCCUGUCCCAAGUCAGGAGCCUAGCUGUAAUUCAGUGGUUUUUUUGUUUGUUCAAUUUUUACAUAAAUAAGCCGUUAGUUUUCUCGUUUGAAUUGUUUUACAUUGUCAUUUCGGGGCCUUUUAUAGCUGACUAUGCGGUAUGGGCUUUGCUCAUUGUUAAAGGCCGUACGGUGACCUAUAGUUGUUAAUUUCUGUGUUAUUUUGGUCUCAUGUGAAGAGUUGUCUCAUUGACAAUCAUACCACAUCUUCUUUUUUUAUAUUCCACAUGUUUGAAAUAAAAAUGAUUACAUUCUUUUUGUCCAUUAUUGUUUUAUAAAUUAAUAUAAUAUGAUUUCAUCUGUUUUACUACAUAAUUUUACAAAUGUUAAUUCGCAAAUUCCUAUGCUAGAAAAUCGUUAUGUGCCUAGAAUUAGGCUUCGUGUUAAAAAAUUCGGAAACACACUUAUUAUAUGCACUAUAUGUAUCUUCUUUGUCGGGUUGUUGUCCAUUUGACACAUUCUCUAUUUCCAUUUUCAAUUUUAAUAGAAAUGAGUCCGAAUAGAACUUAUUUUGUAUAAACAGAUAAUAUUCAGAUGCCUGAUAAUAUGAAGAUCUUAAAGGGCAGACGUGUUGUGUAAUAAUGUAUUUGUAUUUUUAAACAUUUAUUUGUGAUAUUUAAUUUAUUGUAAUGGAUCGUUUGACACGAUAACAUGGUUAUUUAAACUCACUUACAAUACCUUCUAAUUAAGAAUAGGCGUUAAUUUUGACAAGACAUUAACACAAUAGUUUAAGUUAUAGAUACAAUGGAUAAGCGUUGAUUCAU
rnacentral:lncRNA from 1 species